GGGGCGGUAGCUCAGUUGGUCAGAGCAAGGGACUCAUAAUCCCCGGGUCGUAGGUUCGAGUCCUACCCGCCCCA
rnacentral:tRNA from 1 species